rnacentral:rRNA from 1 species
UACGGAGGAUCCAAGCGUUAUCCGGAUUUAUUGGGUUUAAAGGGUGCGUAGGCGGCCUAUUAAGUCAGGGGUGAAAGACGGUGGCUCAACCAUCGCAGUGCCUUUGAUACUGAUGGGCUUGAAUGAACCUGAGGUAGGCGGAAUGUGACAAGUAGCGGUGAAAUGCAUAGAUAUGUCACAGAACACCAAUUGCGAAGGCAGCUUACUAAAGUUUAAUUGACGCUGAGGCACGAAAGCGUGGGGAUCAAACAGGAUUAGAAACCCCGGUAGUCC